GGUGAAGAUGUUGGCUGGAAGGAAACUACUAAAAUAUUAUCUCAGAGCUGUGAAUAAUUUUCACUUACCAGCUUGUCAUAGAAGCAAUCCAGAUUUCAUGGUCUUCAUCAACCAUUAUUGGACAUAUGUAUCACUUCUUCAUUUCUGUGUCAAGGUGACAGAAGGUGAUUUCUCCACAUGCAAAUACAGAUUUCUACUUUUCAACACUUGAAGCAGAAAAUGGGCCAGGGGAAUAAUGCACCACUAACAUCCACCUCUUCUGCGCUCCAAACAUGGCAACAGUCCUCUCCCCACUGGUUUAUUUUGGCUGCCUUAAUGCCAUGUGAAAACUUAAGCUUCAGGAGGAGCUUCAAGAUGGUGGA